GGCCUCGUGGCCUAAUGGCUAGGGCGCUAGAUUUCGGUGGCGGUGCUUAGGUACCAAAUCAUUGAAACCUCUAGAGAUUGUCGGUUCGAGUCCGGCCGAGGUCG